CAAUAUCCAAGAAGGACACCGCUCCAAAAUCAAAAAUGAGACUGUGGAUGGGCACCUUGGGGACAUUUACUUUGACUGGGAGUUCUGAAUUCCAGUCCACCUGGAUCUCUACUUCUUUGGUGGGAACUUGAAGAUCUUCAUUGUCUUCAGAUAUCUGUGCCAGGAAUGUUCCCAAAGCCACCCCAUGAGGGACUAACGGAAACAGAAAGAAAGGACAGUGAAGGAGAACGUCAUACUUAAGCAUUUGCAGAAUGGGAGAAUUGUCGCAUACGAACUAUCACAUACUCUUAGAGUCUGUUCUCUUCUACCAAACCCGCUGUGCCACCAGGAAAGGGCUAUAUCUUUGUUUUGUGUCACUAUGCAAAAGUCUUUUUCUGAUCUAUAGUGGAAGGUCCUUGUUAAAGACAAGGUAAUUUGGUCUCAGCCUACUGACCUCAUCAUUUCUGAGUAGAGCUAGAUGGAUGACUUGUUCUAUUUGUUUUCCAAACCAGAAAAAUAUGUUAAAAGAACCUUAUUUUUGAUCAAAUGAAAAAACAGGCUUUGACUCGGAAAGAAGUUGAUCAUUUUUUCAUUUUACAUCAACUGAAACAAACCAUUUACAUUGUUGUCAUAUUACUUAAAAGUUUUUGUUCAACCCCUUUUCUUUGGAUUUGGGUCAGAAACCAAAAUAUUGUUGGUCUCCAAAUAUACUUUCAUCAGCUGAAGCAAA